UACCAGCACCCCGAGUGGUCGGGACGUUUAUUGGGCCUAAAGCAUCCGUAGCCGGUUCUACAAGUCUUCCGUUAAAUCCACCUGCUUAACAGAUGGGCUGCGGAAGAUACUAUAGAGCUAGGAGGCGGGAGAGGCAAGCGGUACUCGAUGGGUAGGGGUAAAAAUCCGUUGAUCCAUUGAAGACCACCAGUGGCGAAGGCGGCUUCCAGAAACGCGCUCGACGGUUGAGGGGAUGAAAGCUGG
rnacentral:rRNA from 1 species